AGCGAACGCUGGCGGCAGGCCUAACACAUGCAAGUCGAACGAACCUUUCGGGGUUAGUGGCGGACGGGUGAGUAACACGUGGGAACGUGCCUUUAGGUUCGGAAUAACUCAGGGAAACUUGUGCUAAUACCGAAUGUGCCCUUCGGGGGAAAGAUUAAUCGCCUUUAGAGCGGCCCGCGUCUGAUUAGCUAGUUGGUUGAGGUAAUGGCUCACCAAGGCGACGAUCAGUAGCUGGUCUGAGAGGAUGAUCAGCCACAUUGGGACUGAGUCACGGCCCAAACUCCUACGGGAAGCAGCAGUGGGGAAUCUUGCGCAAUGGGCGAAAGCCUGACGCAGCCAUGCCGCGUGAAUGAUGAAGGUCUUAGGAUUGUAAAAUUCUUUCACCGGGGACGAUAAUGACGGUACCCGGAGAAGAAGCCCCGGCUAACUUCGUG
rnacentral:rRNA from 1 species